UGUGGAUUUGGACGUGUAAGCUCGGUUUGGACUAUCUAUGUUUUUUCGGUACAGAUUCAAUUACAGGCAGCGAUGCAGGGCUGAAGUUGGCUUCGAAUGGCUUAAGGUUUUAUAUGGUGAACUGGUUUUUUUCUCUUUUCGGUAUUUCGUGAUAUACUGGACCGGUAUAGACAUGGUGCAGCAUGUUCUGGUUUUUCUUGUAGAACCGGUUUAGUGAAGGAUUGUUGCGGGUUGUAAUAUGGUUGUAUAAUAUGAUUUAUGAUUUAAAUAUAUGGGUGAAGUUAAUUGCAGGUCUGCUAACUGCUUCCUAUUAUUCUAUGUGGGUGAGUUUAUUAUUUGCUAUAUAAAAAUAUUGUGCAUCUUGAUAUUGCUGGACUAACUGUUUGUGAGGGAUAUGAAGAUAAUUUUCAGAGAUUUAAAACCUUCAAAUAUCCUUCUGGAUGAGCAGUGGAAUGCAAAGCUGCUAGACUUUGGGACCAUCUGAUGGGUUAACUCAUUUCUCAACAGCGGUUGUAGGAACAAUGGGCUAUGUCGCUGUUGAAUAUAUUCUAUGUUUCCUUACUGGAGGUACCCUCAAAGACGUCGCAUCGUAUCGGCUAAAACCUAUGUUUCUUUAUUGUUGUGUACUGUGGUUCGGGUUACUUGGUUGGUCUUGGAAGCUAUGACAUUACUGGUCCUGCUGCUGGUGUUAACUUGAUGGGGUAUGCUAAAAUAGAACAAGUUGCAUCUGGUAUCCACUUCAAGCUUCGCGCUCGUGCUUUCAUUGUUGCAGUAUGGUUAGUUGGUAACUGAUUUUUUGAUCUGAAAUAUUCGCGGUGUUGAUUUUGUAAUUUUGUUUGGUUGAUGAUGAUUGAAGCAGGGAGUUAUUUAUGAUAAACAAGUUAUCUUACAUAGUCUAUUGAUUGAUGAUUGAA